rnacentral:rRNA from 1 species
AUACGGAGGGUGCGAGCGUUAAUCGGAAUUACGGGGCGUAAAGCGUGCGUAGGCGGUUUGCUAAGUCAGAUGUGAAAGCCCCGGGCUUAACCUGGGAACUGCAUUUGAUACUGGCAGACUAGAGUAUGAUAGAGGGGGGUAGAAUUCCUGGUGUAGCGGUGAAAUGCGUAGAUAUCAGGAGGAAUACCAGUGGCGAAGGCGGCCCCCUGGAUCAAUACUGACGCUGAGGUACGAAAGCGUGGGGAGCGAACAGGAUUAGAAACCCUAGUAGUCC